GGCGCGGGCCGUGGGAGCGUCACGGGCCGCGACCGCCGGGAGCGACCCCCGAUCCCCCCGGCACCGCCGGGCCCUCCCCGGCCUCGGCAUGUUCGCGGACAGGACGGCACCCGGUGCCGACGUGCAGUCGCUGUGGAGGAGCGCCCGGAGCGCGCGCUGCGAGGCGAAAACUUGCCAGACUGUGAAAAUUUCAACAGCAGAAGCUGCAGCACAAUCUCAUACAGCCCGAGAUGCUGCGGUGCAGACAGAACAGAGCAAAGAUGCUUUCCAAGACUUCCAGCAAGAAGUCCAAAUAGAUUACACCAGGCUUCUGUCAUUCCUUCAGAGAGUGGAGGAUACUGUUAUCAAAGAGCUAAAUAAAAACUGGAAAAGUCAUGCCUUUGAUGGCUUUGAAGUGAACUGGACAGAUCAGGAUGAAACAGUGUUGUGUUUGCAUACAUUGUCAUACCCAGAGGCUCAGGAUCAAAACUUGCAGGUCACCAGUGUUUCAUGGAAUGCCACGGGAUCUGUCAUUGCAUGUUCCUAUGGCCGGUUGGAUGAUGGGGACUGGAGCACAGAAAAAUCAUAUGUUUGUACCUGGAAUCUGGACAGAAGAGGGUUGAAUUCACAGCACCCUGACCUGGUGGUGGAUGUUCCCAGUUCUGUCAUGUGCCUGGCUUUCCAUCCCUCCCAGCCAUCACUGAUAGCUGGUGGCCUAUUCAGUGGGGAGCUGGUAGUAUGGGACACCAGCAGGACAGAAGACCCUGUGAUUUGGAGGACAGGGAUGACAGAGGACACCCACACUGACCCAGUCUAUCAGGUUAACUGGUUACCUGACACCAAGCACAGAAACCACGUCCGGCUCUUGAGUGUGGCGACAGAUGGGAAGAUCCUCGUGUGGAGGGAGGAGCGGGAUGGGUGGCUGGCCUUGGCUGAAGGAUUUGCCAUCGUGGCUCAGCAGAUCCCUCGCAGCACUCGGCUAAAGAAGGUGGCCUGGGGAGAGGCAGCCGUGGGGGUGACCUCGCUGUCCUUCUCACACUUGGAUCCCAGUGUGUUUGUUGUGGGUGUGGAAGGUGGGUAUUCCCUGAGGUGCUCCACCAUGGCCCAGACUCCGGCGGCUCUCCUGCGGCCGGCUGGCUCCGUUCCCCUCAGGGCACCAGCAGAACUCGCCUUCUCCCCUCAUGCUGGGCCCGUGUACUCCGUGAGCUGCUCACCCUUCCACAGGAACCUCUUUCUGAGCUGUGGGACCGAUGGACAAAUUCACUUGCACUCCAUGUUGCAGACACAGCCCCUGUUUGCUCUACAGUUAUCAAAGAAAUACCUGUUCUGUGUAUGCUGGUCUCCAGUUCGACCACUGGUCUUUGCAGCUGCAUCUGGGGAAGGAGAGGUGCACCUGUUUGACCUGGCGAGGAGCAUGCAGAAGCCCACAGUGUCCCUGAAGCAGUCCAUGAACAACUGCCCUGUGUAUUGUCUGGAAUUCAACACCAAGCACACACGGCUCCUGGCAGCAGGGGAUGCUUCUGGGACAGUCAAAGUCUGGCAGCUGAGCUCUGACUUCACCAAGCAGGGACCAAGGGAAACAAGUCACCUGGAGCAGCUGGCAAGUGAGCUCAUGGACUGAGGAAGCAGCACAACAGCUGUGUGAAGCUUUUAACUGCCCUGACUCCAGGAACAGUUUCCCACUCACCUGUUCCAGUGUUGGCCUGGAAAAUACAGGGUUUAGGCUCAAACUCAACGCCCGCCUAGAGAUGAAGCGCACGCCCAGAGCCUUGAGCAGGGAGCUGGGAACCAACCGUGGAAAGAACCAACAGGGAAACAAACCUCCAAGCAUCUCUAAGCCGUGAAAGUUAGUUGGAAGGAAAGCGAGCCUUGGAAUUAACGAGUGCGUUUGAAAAUCAAAGUGAGACAAAUGGCCAACACACAUCCUCAUCAGGAACCAUUACUGUGGACACAGUGGGCUUAAAACUGCUGGCAAACUCCAACAGCUUCUUGGAUUCACAUUGGAAGGUUGGUUUUCUCUUAUCAAGGCUAAAAUCUGUGCGGACCGUGAUUUGCAGCAGAUUAAAAAUGGGCAGUUCAUAUUUGCAAACUUUAAGAUUUUAAAGGUUUAAUGUUUUAAGAUACAUAAUUUCAGAAAAAUGUUCUCCUUAUCAAAACCAGUCAAUACUUUGGAGAUUUCGCUGUUCUCAGAAUAGUUAUGGUCAAAUGUUUUAUUUCACUAAGAAAGUCUCUUCAGCUGAAAAACUAGAAAUGUCAGAAUAGCCUGCCUUUGGAAAGCAGCUAUACUCUCACGUAUCUUCUCAAAUUAAGGAUCUUUUCCUGUGCAAGCCCUCAGAGAAAGCAAGAGGAAAAGUCAGGAAUUCCAUGGUGUGCCAGUUGCUGCCUGCUGUAAUUCUGCUUUUGACUAGGAAAUUGUUGUUUCUACUGGUUUAUAGUUAACUACUCCUAGAUCUUGUUUCCUGUGUCUGUGCACCUCAGCAAAAGGUUGCUUUUUCAAAUAAGAGGAGUUUGAG